UACAGAAUUGCUGAGAGGCCGGGCACGGUGGCUCACGCCUGUAAUCGCAGCACUUUGGGAGGCCGAGGCGGUGGAUCAUGAAAUCAAGGAUCGAGACCAACCUGGCCAACAUGGUGAAACUCCCUCUCUACUAAAAAUACACAAAUUAUCUGGGCGUGGUGGCGCGCGCCUGUAGUCCCACCUACUCUAGAGGCCGAGGCAGGAGAAUCGCUUGAACGCCGGCCACGGAGCUUGCAGUGAGCUGAGACUGCAUCACUGCACUCCAGCCUGGGGAUAGAGCCAGACUGUCUAAAAAAACAAAACAGGCUGGGCACGCUGGCUCACACCUGUAAUCCCAGCACUUUGGGAGGACUAGGCGGGCAGAUCACGGAGUCAGAAGAUCAAAACCAUCCCGGCCACCCUGUCUCUACUAAAAUACAAAAAAAUUAGCCACACGUGGUGGCCUGCGCCAGUAAUCCCAGCCACUCAGGUGGGUGAGGCAGGGGAAAUCACUUGAACCCUGGCGGUGGAGGAUGCCAUGGGCUGAGGUCGUGCCACCACACUACAGCCUGGGCAACAGGGCAAGACUCUACCUCAAAAACAACAACAACAACAACAAAAUCAAAAACAAAAACAAAAACAAAAUUGCUGAGGCCCCUCCCAGGGCCUUGGAAGGACCUGAGCCAGUGAGGAAGCUCAAGUGCAGCUUUCUUAGCAUCCCAGCCCCAGCCCCAGCCCCAACCCUACCCUGCAGGCCCCCUGGAAGGGGUGAUAACCCUCACCCAAGAAAGUCAGACACCAACAAGGUCAGAGAGCUGAGUGAGCCAAGGCAAUAUGGCAAGGAAGUGCACCUGGUCUCCAACCCCUUGCAUGCCCAGGCAGUGUCCCUCAGCCCAACCAAGAGCAAGGGCAGUCAGGUGUUUGGGGACUGCAGCCACAGCCAGGCAAGGCCAAGCCCUCCAGUCCCAUCCAGUCACGGUCCAACUUGCCACCCAGGGCACCGACCCUGCAGGCAAGGAAGGUACAGAAGAACUCCUAGGAGGAAAGGAAGGAGGGCCUCUCAGGUGUAUGUAAGGGCACAGGACUUGGUGGUAGGCAGGACCGGGUUUCAAGCCCCUGCAAGACUGUGUGUCCUUGGGACAUCUCCUUUCCCUGGGUUUCCUCAUCUGUAAAAUGGGAGUAAUAAUCGUACCUACUGGACAGAGUUGGUGCGUGAAAGAGGGCUGGGCCAUGGCUGUUGGAAACACAUUUCCCUCCUGUGAGAUCUCCAGGACAGGAGAGGCAUUUUCUCCCAUUUUCAUGAGGUCACUUACCCAGAGGGUGGUCUCUCCAUUGCAGAGCUGGAAUUUAAAUGCGGGAAUGUCUGGUGCGGAUGCACUGAGCUUUCACCACCAGGAAUGCUGCCUCUUUGGGCCUGUCUCAGUGGAAUUAACCACCAUUAGGUGUUCAUGCCAAGGGGAGCCUGGCUCAUCCCCUUUCUGGAUUUUACCAUCUCUGUGCUCCCAUGGGCACCUGACGCUGGAAGUUUUUCUUUCUUUCUUUCUUUCUCUUUCUUUCUUUCUUCUUUCUCUCUUUCUCUCUCUCUUUCUCUCUUUCUUUCAAGAAGAGUCUCGCUCUGUUGCCCAGGCUGGAGUGCAAUGGCGCGAUAUCGGCUCACCCCAACCUCUGCCUCCCAGUUCAAGCAAUUUGCCUGCCUCAGCCUCCUGAGUAGCUGGGAUUACAUGCAUGCACCACCACACCUGGCUAAUUUUGUAUUUUUAGUAGAGAUGGGGUUUCUCUAUGUUGGUCAGGCUGGUCUCGAACGCCUGACCUCCAGUGAUCUGCCUGCCUUGGCCUCCCAAAGAGCUGGGAUUACAGGUGUGAGCUACAGUGCCCCGCCAAGGCUGGAUUUUUUUCAACUCUGAAAUCCUCCAGCCUGGACCAGAAGAAGCAGGAGAACUGAGACUAGCGAUAGGGUAGAGGAGCUGGGAAGAGGCUGUGGCUGUGGGCCUGGGGGCAGCAGUGAGACCUGAAAAGGCUUGAAGUCUUUUUUCCAAAGAGGUGAUGCUUUGCCUCAGGGUUUGCCUAGGGUCCACUGGACAGGCACACAGGGAAACUGAGUUCUCAUCUCAGCACCGCCCCUUUCUAGCAAGCGGAGCUUGCACCUGUCAGUCCACCCCGAGCCUCAGUUUCCUUAUCUGUGAAAUGGGGAUAAGAACACCUGCAGUAUCAGCUGGGUGUGGUGGCUCACGCCUGUAAUCCAAGCACUUUGGAGGUCAAGGCGGGCGGAUCACCUGAGGUUGGGAGUUCAAGAUGAGCCUGACGAACGUGGCGAAACUCCGUCUUUAAAAAAAAAAGAAUACAAGAAUACCUGCAGUAUCAAGGAUUACAAGCUGUUGUAUAUGUAGCGUAGAGUGCCUGGUGCGUACCUCUGGUUAUUAAUACAGUCUCGAGUUGGGGUGGAGAUGUCAUAUGGGGGGUACGGAGUGUGAGCAGAAGUGGGGAGUCCUGCCAGGGUGGGAGUUGGGACCUCCAAGGUCUCUGUCCCAGAGAGGGAGCACCUUGAGGGUGGGGCUGGGAACCUCAGCUUCAGCCCUCUUCCAGGUCAGAAAGGGCCAGAGAGAAGCCAAGGAGUUGUCAGAGAAGAGUGGGGAGCUGCAGUGUUCACCCCAACUCAGGCAGGUGAGAGGGAAGCAAGGUGGGGGGUGGCCACAGUGUGUUGCUGGCCGAACGAUUACCCCAAGGUCCCAUUUCACAGCCUCAUUUGUCCCUCAAUGCAGACUUCAGAGCUAUGCAUUUCUCCAUUUGUUUUUUGUUUUUGUUUGUUUUUUGAGACUGAGUCUCAUUCCGUUGGCCAGGCUGGAAUGCAGUGACACAAUCUAGGCUCACUGCAACCUUCGCCUCCCGGGUUCAAGUUAUUCUCCUGCCUCAGUCUCUCAAGUAGCUGGAAUUACAGGCACGUGCCAUCGCACCCGGAUCAUUUUUGUAUUUUUAAUAGAGAGGGUUUCUCCAUGUUGGUCAGCUGGUCUCGAACUCCAGACCUCAGGUGAUCCACCAGCCUUGGCCUCCCAAAGUGCUGGGAUUAUAGGCAUGAGCCACUGCGCCAAGCCUGAAAUUCCUUAUUUCAUCUUAAAAAAAUCGUAAGUUUGCAUCCUUCUCUUUAAUGCGUGGGGAUUUCCCUUCCCUUUCUUAAAAACACCUUCCCUUCUCAUUCUUCUAUGUGAGUGGACGUUCAGGGAAGACACACCUGGGUUAUGUCCUGAGGCUGUGGAUGUCUCAUGCCCCAGGGUGGCCCCCAGGGCCCUGGGCCACCUGGCCUGGCUGGGGAGAAGUUCAGGGAUGGCUGAGGUUGAUAGUUGAGGACCUGCCAGCCGUCACGGCCUGGGGCUGGCCCCACCUCUGCUCUCAACUCCUGCCACCUCUCCCUCUCAUCUUGGCUCCUAGAUGGUUGUCCAUCGAGCUCCAACUGUCCCAAUAGGAGUUCUCAGGAUACCUCACCCCUCCCUCUCUCCACUGAGGGUCCUUGGUUUAGAGGGGGCACUGCCUGUCUUCAUCCCUUUCUACUGGGCAGCCUGACCACACAACCUAGGGCUUUCUGUGCCAAUUAAGAGGAAACUGAGGCCAAGUGGAGAGGUGCCAGCCCCGGGUAUCACAGCGAGGAGGGCUGUUGGGUGUCCAGGGGCAGGUGUCUCUGGGUAGAGGGGGGUAACCCCUAGGCCUGAAUAGAGAUCUGGGCACUGGCCAGGGAGGCAGGAGGAAGGAGGGAAGGCCGAGGGGCACCCGGGGGCUGCUGCCUGGCGGGUCCCCGUGCCCAGGCAAGGGAAGUUUCUUAUUUCUCCUGCUCCGACUUCCCCCUUUGAUUUAUUAUAGCCAUGAAAUGCUCUGCUCUCUUCUCUUUUCCUUGCUGUCCCCGGGGCUGGAGGAGCACAGCCUCCCCGGGAGCGGCCUUGCUGGACUCCUGUCGCCUUCUGAGGGCUGGGCCCAGGAGACCAGAAACAAGAGUCUCUAGAGCUUCCAAGAUUUUUGGUUUCAAACCAAUUUCCUGCUGACCAGAAUGAAAUGAAGCCACAUUCCAGCGUGAUGCACCUACUGGCCUCCUGCAAGUCGGGGACCUUCUCUGCCACUCUUUUGCUUCUCUGAGGAAGGAAGAGGCUGGGAAUGAGCUCCUUUGGGGUCCCAUGGCCUCCAACCAGCCACUGUCCCUGUUUCCCCCAAACCUCCUCAUUGUCCCUCCUAUGUCCUCCUCCUCCGGCACCCUCACCCUGCUCUCCUCUUUUUUUUUUUUUUUUUUUUGAGACGGAGUCUCACUCCUCUGUUGCCAGGCUGGAGUGCAAAAAUGAUGGGAUCUCGGCUCACUGCAGCCUCUGCCUUCUGGGUUCAAGUGAUUCUCCUGCCUCAGCCUCCUGAGUAGCUGGGACUACAGGCAUGCACCACCAUGCCCAGCUAAUUUUGGUAUUUUUAGUAGAGUUGGGGUUUUACCAUGUUGGCCUGAAUGGUCUCCAUCUCUUAACCUCGUGAUCUGCCCACCUCGGCCUGCCAAAGUGCUGGGAUCUGUCAGGCAUGAGUCACCUCGCCCAGACUGCUCUCCUUUUUUGCCUGAGGUUCUUGCUGCCUCUUCACCUCUCCUCCUGUUUCUUCCUUCUCUCUGCUCCCUCCUUUGAUCUUGCUAUUUUGUUUCUCUUUCCCUUUCUCUCUUCUCCCUCCCCUUCCUCUCCACUCCAGCCUCAGCUUCUCAGUCUCUCUCUCUUCUUCCUCUAGCUUCCUUUCCUCCGCAGUAGACCCAGCCCUUCCUAGAGCUCCACAAGCCAGGAAUCACGUCCCAGCUCUCUACCCACACACGCUGUGUGAUCCUGGGCCAGUCACUGGUCUCUUGGGCCUCAGUUCAACAGAUGGCUGUCUUGGUGAUGUUAGAUCACAGGGUGGAAGCACCCAGUAUGGUGCCAGGCACUCAAAAAUUUUUUUCCUUUUCCUUUUUAAGGAACUACUAACCAUGAGGUUGUGUAUUACCCAAACCCUUCCUGUUCUUAGAAUCUGGGUCCUACUAUUCUCAAGAAUUUGAAUUACCAUGAGUCCUGGGGAUGUAAGGGGAUGAGGUUUCUGGUGCACUUUGGGAGGUGGAGGAGUGGGAAGAGGAUUUGGGAGAACACUCUAGCAUUGCUCAGAAGGCAGAGGGCAUUCCUCCUAUUUCCAGAGGUUAUUGGCCCUGGGUUUUUUUUUUUUUUUUUUUUUGAGACAGAGUUUCCCUCUCUUGCCCAGGUUGGAGUGCAAUGGUUCAUUCUCGGCUCACCACAACCUCUGCCUCUCAGGUUCAAGCAAUUCUCCUGCCUCAGUCUCCCUAGUAGCUGGGAUUACAGGCAUGUGCCACUAUUUUGUAAUUUUAGUAGAAACUGGGUUUCUCCAUGUUGGUCAGCCUGGUCUUGAACUCCCGACCUCAGGUGAUCCACCGGCCUUGGCCUCCCAAAGUGCUGGGAUUACCACGCCCGGUCAAGCCCUAGAUGUCUUUUGUGGACGUCCUCAUCCAGGAUCCUUGGACUUGGUCGUAUCUGAGACAAUGGGAAAUCUUCCUUCUCCUGGAGCCCCUUGAAUCUUAGGCCUCGGGAGCAUACAGCCCACCUGGUUUCUUGGCUGCACCCGCAAGGAUAGCCCUGUACUCCCUGCUUACAACCAGCAAAGGCUCCAUAGCCAUUCCUGUACACGACUCAGGCUCCCUGGCUUGGCACUCAAGGCUCUUUGACUUCCUGUGCUGCUUUGCUUCCAGCUGCAAGGAUGGUGGCUCCCUGUUUUCCUGUUCUUUUCCUUUGCUUAAGUUGAUUCUCAGCCAGACAUACCUUCCCUCUGCACGCGUCCCGCCAUCCUAUCUGGGAGCCUGACCCAAUCAGUUGUUCCCAAAUGCACCUUUGAGACCAAACCUACCUGGCACCUCCUCUCUUGCCCCACUCACGUGACCCUCUGCGGGCCUGUAAGCUGCUGGAGGCUCUGAGCAUGCCUCAUUCAUGUCUGCCCCCUUACUAGACCCAGACCACGGAAGACACUCAAUAAAAAGUGAGUGAUUAAAUGACAACCUCUAUGGAAAAGAGUAUGGAUAUUUCUCAAAGAAGUAAACAAAACUACCAUUUGGUCAGGUGCUGUGGCUCACACCUACAAUCCCAACAUUUGGGGAGGCUGAGGCAGGCGGAUUGCUUGAGCCCAGGAGUUCAAGACCAGCCUGGACAACAUGGUGAAACCCUAUCUGUACAAAAAAUACAGAAAAUUAGCUGGGACUAUAGGAGGCACACAUCCGUAGUCCUAGAUAUUCAGGAGGCUGAGGUGGGAGGAUCGCUUGAGCCUGGGAGGUCCCGGCUGCAGUAAGAUCACGCCACUGUACUCCAUCCUUGGUGAUAGAGCGACAUUCUGUCUCAAAAGAAAAAUAACUGGCUGGGUGAGGUGGUUCACGUCUGUAAUCCUAGCACUUUGGGAAACUGAGGUGGGUGGAUCACCUAAGGUAAGGAGUUCGAGGCCAGCUCGGCCAACAUGGUGAAACCCUGUCUCUACUAAAAAUACAGUAAUUAGCUGGAUGUGGUGGCAGCCACCUGUAAUCCCAGCUAUUUGGGAGGCUGAGGCAGAAGAAUCGCUUGAACCUGGGAGGCAGAGUGAGCUGAGAUGGCACCACUGCACUCCAGCCUGGGCAACAACUGCAAAACUCAGUCUCAAAAAAAAGAGAAAAGAAGAAAGAAAAAGAACUAUCAUUUGAUCCAGCAGUCCCACUAUGGAGUAUCUAAUCGCAGGAAUAACUGUAUCAAAAAGAUACCUGCACUUGUAUAUCACAGAACUAUUCACAAUGGCAAAGCUACCAAAUCAACCUAAGUGUCCAUCAACAGAUGACUGAAUAAAUAAGAUGUUAUAUCAUAGAUAUAUAAUGAAAUACUAUUCAGCCAUCAAAAAGAAGGAAAUUAUGUCUUUGCAGCAACAUGGAUGGAAUUGGAGGCCAUUGUCAUAAGUGAAACAACUCAGAAACAAACACUGCCCGUUCUCAUUUAUAAGUAGGAGCUAAAUAAUGUGCACACAUGGUGGAAUGACAGACGCUGGAGACCCGGAAGGUGGGAGAGUGGGAGCCACGGUGAAAGAUGGGAAAUUACUUCAAGGGUAAAAUGUAUGUUAUUAAGGUGGUGAUAAACUAAAAGGCCAGACUUCACCAUUAUGCAAUAUAUCCACAGAACAAAACUGCACGUGUACCCCUUAAAUGUAUGCAAAAAAGUGAUGAAAUGAAUGAAUGAAUAAACAGAUAAACAAACCAAAGCAAGGAAAUAACACACACAGGAAUGAAUGAAUGAAUGAACACAUCAAGCAGGGCCUCGAUCUUGCGGAGUGGAUAACCCUACACCCCGCUGCAUCCAGUUAGCUGGGGCUUGGCCUUCUUGAUGGGGAAGUGGGAGACAGGAUGGAACUGAUGCCAAGCCAGCCCCUCUCCCCUCCUUUUGGGUAGAGGCCUUGGCCAGAUUCCUAGGGAGCCCUGAAGACCUGUGGCCUGGAACGUUUGGAGAGUUGCAAGUGCAGACAGAAAAGGUCAGUGAAGGUGGAAGUCAAAUUAGAUCUAAUGGUGAGCCCAGGGCUGUGAAAUUCUGGUGUUUGCUGCUAAUGAAAAAACAUGUGAGGCCUGGGAAUCCACUGGCAAAGAUGCAGGCCUGUCUUAGUAGAGUGGGAACAUAAAUCAAGGGGUUAGAUUAUACUGGGGAGGACACUGAAUGCUCAAAAGUUCCUUCCCAGCAGAGGGGACUCACCAGAGAUCACUGGGACAAAAAGUGCCUCUACUCAUCCCUCCACCCUCCAGAAAAGAUCAGGAGCUCUCUGAAGGCAGGGGUCUUAUACAAUACUUUUUUGUUUUCCUAGUGCUCAGAUUAGAGCCUGGAACUCAACAUUGGGAAGAUGCAUGGGUGGAUGGAUGAGUGAAUAGUCAGAUAGAUGAAGGAGUGGAUGAAUGGAUAGAUGGUUGGUUAGGUA